UACGUAGGGUGCAAGCGUUAAUCGGAAUUAUUGGGCGUAAAGCGUGCGUAGGCGGCUGUUUAAGUCUGGUGUUAAAGCUAGGGGCUCAACCCCUGUGGUGCACUGGAAACUGGGCAGCUUGAGUGCGGUAGGGGAAGGUGGAAUUCCGAGUGUAGCGGUGAAAUGCGCAGAUAUCAGGAGGAACACCGAUGGCGAAGGCAGGUCUCUGGGCCACUACUGACGCUGAGAAGCGAAAGCAUGGGGAGCGAACAGG
rnacentral:rRNA from 1 species